CCCUAGUAGCGGCGAGCGAAGCGGGAAGAGCUCAAAUUUAUAAUCUGGCACCUUCGGUGUCCGAGUUGUAAUCUCUAGAAAUGUUUUCCGCGUUGGACCGCACACAAGUCUGUUGGAAUACAGCGGCAUAGUGGUGAGACCCCCGUAUAUGGUGCGGACGCCCAGCGCUUUGUGAUACAUUUUCGAAGAGUCGAGUUGUUUGGGAAUGCAGCUCAAAUUGGGUGGUAAAUUCCAUCUAAAGCUAAAUAUUGGCGAGAGACCGAUAGCGAACAAGUACCGUGAGGGAAAGAUGAAAAGCACUUUGGAAAGAGAGUUAACAGUACGUGAAAUUGUUGGAAGGGAAACGCUUGAAGUCAGACUUGCUUGCCGAGCAAUCGGUUUGCAGGCCAGCAUCAGUUUUCCGGGAUGGAUAAUGGUAGAGAGAAGGUAGCAGUUUCGGCUGUGUUAUAGCUCUCUGCUGGAUACAUCUUGGGGGACUGAGGAACGCAGUGUGCCUUUUGGCGGGGGUUUCAACCCCUUCCCACUUAGAAGGCUGGGGAAAGGGCUUUAAACAACCCGCCUUGAA
rnacentral:rRNA from 1 species